UAGGGAAUCUUCGGCAAUGGACGAAAGUCUGACCGAGCAACGCCGCGUGAGUGAAGAAGGUUUUCGGAUCGUAAAACUCUGUUGUUAGAGAAGAACAAGGACGUUAGUAACUGAACGUCCCCUGACGGUAUCUAACCAGAAAGCCACGGCUAACUACGUGCCAGCAGCCGCGGUAAUACGUAGGUGGCAAGCGUUGUCCGGAUUUAUUGGGCGUAAAGCGAGCGCAGGCGGUUACUUAAGUCUGAUGUGAAAGCCCCCGGCUCAACCGGGGAGGGUCAUUGGAAACUGGGGGACUUGAGUGCAGAAGGGGAGAGUGGAAUUCCAUGUGUAGCGGUGAAAUGCGUAGAUAUAUGGAGGAACACCAGUGGCGAAGGCGGCUCUCUGGUCUGUAACUGACGCUGAGGCUCGAAAGCGUGGGGAGCAAACAGG
rnacentral:rRNA from 1 species